UCGAGAAUCAUUCACAAUGGGCGAAAGCCUGAUGGUGCGACGCCGCGUGGAGGAUGACAGCCCUAGGGUUGUAAACUCCUGUCAUGAGAGAGUAAAGACUUACCGUUAAUACCGGUGGGUCCUGAUAGUAUCUCAAGAGGAAGGGACGGCUAACUUCGUGCCAGCAGCCGCGGUAAUACGAAGGUCCCAAGCGUUGUUCGGAAUUACUGGGCGUAAAGCGUGCGUAGGCGGCAUGGUAAGUCAGAUGUGAAAUCCCGGGGCUCAACCUCGGAACUGCAUCCGAUACUGCCAAGCUAGAGUAGUGGAGGGGAGUCUGGAAUUCACGGUGUAGCAGUGAAAUGCGUAGAUAUCGUGAGGAACACUAGUGGCGAAGGCGAGACUCUGGACACUAACUGACGCUGAGGCACGAAGGCUAGGGUAGCGAAAGGG
rnacentral:rRNA from 1 species